AUCGCUUCUCGGCCUUUUGGCUAAGACCAAAGUGUAGUAUCUGUGAAUCUGAGCCAAAGGCCGGGAAUUUCGGCGUGAUCUAAACACCUUUUUAUCGCGCGACUCGGUGUUGGUAUUUUUUCUUACGGAGUACUACCGCCACCUCUGGACGCCGCACAGUACUUCCGUGGCCUUGAACACCGUGGCCACGAU